UCGAGUGCGCGUCCGUAGCAAUACGGAUGGCGCACGGCGCACGGGUGCGUAACACGUGGGCAAUCUGCCCUCGGAUGGGGUAGGAACUCGCCGAAAGGCGAGCUAAUACCGCAUGACAUUCCGAAGACUCCGGUCUUUGGAUUCAAAGGCCGCAAGGCCGUCUGGAGAGGAGCCCGCGCCCGAUUAGCUAGUUGGUGGAGUAACGGCUCACCAAGGCUUUGAUCGGUAGCCGGUCUGAGGAGAUGGCCGGCCACACUGGAACUGAGACACGGUCCAGACUCCUACGGGGAGCAGCAGUGGGGAAACAUGCGCAAUGGGCGAAAGCCUGACGCAGCGACGCCGCGUGGGGGAUGAAGCUUCUCGGAGUGUAAACCCCUUUAGACCCGGACGAAUGACCCGCAAGGGUUUGACGGUACGGGUAUAAGAAGCCCCGGCUAACUACGUGCCAGCAGCCGCGGUAAUACGUAGGGGGCCAGCGUUGCUCGGAAUUACUGGGCGUAAAGGGUUCGUAGGUGGUGCGGCAAGUUGGAAGUGAAACCUCUGGGCUUAACCCAGGAGCUGCUUUAAAAACUGCCGCGCUCGAGUGCGAGAGGAGUCAGUGGAAUUGCAGGUGUAGCGGUGAAACGCGUAUAGGAUCUGCAGGAACACCCGUGGCGAAGGCGGCUGACUGGAUCGCAACUGACACUGGAGAACGAAAGCUAGGGGAGCAAACAGGAUUAUAGGACCCUGGUAGUCCUAGCCCUAAACCAUC
rnacentral:rRNA from 1 species